rnacentral:rRNA from 1 species
GACGUAGGAUGCGAGCGUUAUUCGGAUUUAUUGGGCGUAAAGCGUGCGUAGGCGGCUUGUUUAAGUCUGGUGUUAAAGCUAGGGGCUCAACCCCUGUGGUGCAUCGGAUACUGGGCAGCUUGAGUGCGGUAGGGGAAGGGUGGAAUUCCGAGUGUAGCGGUGAAAUGACGUAGAUAUUCGGAAGAACACCGGUGGCGAAGGCGACCUUCUGGGCCGCAACUGGACGCUGAGGCACGAAAGCCUGGGGA